rnacentral:rRNA from 1 species
UUAAAUUGAAGAGUUUGAUCAUGGCUCAGAUUGAACGCUGGCGGCAGGCCUAACACAUGCAAGUCGAGCGGUAGCACAGAGAGCUUGCUCUCGG